AUCCCUAAGCAGCGUCGAGCGAUAAACACCCCACCAAACGAAACUGACCCUGAACUUCAUCAAUCAACAAUAGAGCAGAGCCCUUCUUCUUCACAAACCCUUCACCAGCCGCCCCCUAACCUAACACCUCCUCAUCUCCUCCGCCCCGAACCUUCAGCGAAAAACCCCUUCACAAAAAAAAAUACACGCACACACGGUCAGAGAACAAAAGGGCAUGGGAGAAGAAAAAAAAGAAUUUGAUUUCAGCUCCAUCUUUAGCUCAAAAACGUACUUCUCCACAAAAAUAUGUCUUUUCUUUAAGUUACUUUACAGUGUUUUUUCGGUUUUCCAAUGCUUCAACAAGAGCUUUCUCUUCUCCUUUACUUAGUGCACUGAAAAUAGUCCAUAUUGGUAGAGUGCAGGGCUUUUGUUGUUGAGAUCUUGAAAAUUAUUCACAUUAGAGUCCAAAAUACGGACAAAGAUAGAGAUACAGAGCACCUGGGAAAAAGGUAUUAGAAAAUAAAAGAGUAAAUAUCGAGAGUUAAAGAAAGGAGCAAGCGAGCUUUUCUUUUUGGUUGCUUUUCCUCCACCAUGACUAACUCUUUUUUCUUUUAAAAAAACCAUUGAAAGCCACUAAGUUUUACCAAAAAUCAGUCCCUUCAUAAGAUUCAUCAUGAAGCUUUAGUUCAAAAAAAGUAAGACAUCGCCUCUGUUCUCUUUAACUAAACAGAGUAGAGAUUCUAUUUUGUGGUUUGAGUUACGAAAGAUUGCGGGCUUGCUCGAGUUUUUCGCUAUCUGAGAGUCGAGUUGCAGUUCGAGGUUAUUUUCAUGGUCCGCAGAUCGAUCUCUUGCUGCAAUUUCAUUUUUCGUUUGGGCUGCUUACGCCAAUUGUGGUGUCAAAGCUUUAACUGAAGACUGCUUCUGGCUGCUUGACAGUUGAAUUGAUCUUACAAGGAAAUGAGCUUCCAAAAUCCGGGCUUUUAAAGGAAAUCGCUACAAUUUCUGUUGGACUGUGUUGCUUCCUAGAUUGCUGGGUGUCGUUCCUCAAUUAUUCGACAUUUUGGCUUAUUUCAAGCUCUAUUUUUGAAGCUUUCGCUUGGGAAUUCAUUUUUGUAUUGAAUCAAAUAUUGGAGAAGGCUUCAUAUGAAUUUCUUUUAAAUGUACCAUUUCUCACUUUGAUUUCCUAUUAUUUUGUUGGAUUAGCUAGUUGAUGAACUUUCCUAUUCCUUAUCAUUAUUAUUGAUUGAUUUUCCCUCUGUCCGUACUUAUAUCCUUUUUGCAUGUAUAUAUGAGUGUCACUUUAUUUACCUAUAUUAUGUUGUUGUUGGAAGAUUUUUCUUGAA